rnacentral:rRNA from 1 species
UGGGGAAUAUUGCACAAUGGGCGGAAGCCUGAUGCAGCAACGCCGCGUGCGGGAUGACGGCCUUCGGGUUGUAAACCGCUUUCGCCUGUGACGAAGCGUGAGUGACGGUAAUGGGUAAAGAAGCACCGGCUAACUACGUGCCAGCAGCCGCGGUGAUACGUAGGGUGCGAGCGUUGUCCGGAUUUAUUGGGCGUAAAGGGCUCGUAGGUGGUUGAUCGCGUCGGAAGUGUAAUCUUGGGGCUUAACCCUGAGCGUGCUUUCGAUACGGGUUGACUUGAGGAAGGUAGGGGAGAAUGGAAUUCCUGGUGGAGCGGUGGAAUGCGCAGAUAUCAGGAGGAACACCAGUGGCGAAGGCGGUUCUCUGGGCCUCUCCUGACGCUGAGGAGCGAAAGCGUGGGGAGCGAACAGGCUUAGAUACCCUGGUAGUCCACGCUGUAAACGGUGGGUACUAGGUGUGGGGUCCAUUCCACGGGUUCCGUGCCGUAGCUAACGCUUUAAGUACCCCGCCUGGGGAGUACGGCCGCAAGGCUA